UUAAGCGACUAAGCGUACACGGUGGAUGCCCUGGCAGUCAGAGGCGAUGAAGGACGUGCUAAUCUGCGAAAAGCGUCGGUAAGGUGAUAUGAACCGUUAUAACCGGCGAUGUCCGAAUGGGGAAACCCAGUGUGAUUCGUCACACUAUCGUUAACUGAAUACAUAGGUUAACGAGGCGAACCGGGGGAACUGAAACAUCUAAGUACCCCGAGGAAAAGAAAUCAACCGAGAUUCCCCCAGUAGCGGCGAGCGAACGGGGAGCAGCCCAGAGUCUGAAUCAGCUUGUGUGUUAGUGGAACGGUCUGGAAAGUCCGACGGUACAGGGUGAUAGUCCCGUACACCAAAAUGCACAGGUUGUGAACUCGAAGAGUAGGGCGGGACACGUGGUAUCCUGUCUGAAUAUGGGGGGACCAUCCUCCAAGGCUAAAUACUCCUGACUGACCGAUAGUGAACCAGUACCGUGAGGGAAAGGCGAAAAGAACCCCGGCGAGGGGAGUGAAAAAGAACCUGAAACCGUGUACGUACAAGCAGUGGGAGCACCUUCGGGUGUGACUGCGUACCUUUUGUAUAAUGGGUCAGCGACUUAUAUUCUGUAGCAAGGUUAACCGUAUAGGGGAGCCGCAGGGAAACCGAGUCUUAACUGGGCGUUAAGUUGCAGGGUAUAGACCCGAAACCCGGUGAUCUAGCCAUGGGCAGGUUGAAGGUUGGGUAACACUAACUGGAGGACCGAACCGACUAAUGUUGAAAAAUUAGCGGAUGACUUGUGGCUGGGGGUGAAAGGCCAAUCAAACCGGGAGAUAGCUGGUUCUCCCCGAAAGCUAUUUAGGUAGCGCCUCGUGAACUCAUCUUCGGGGGUAGAGCACUGUUUCGGCUAGGGGGUCAUCCCGACUUACCAACCCGAUGCAAACUACGAAUACCGAAGAAUGUUAUCACGGGAGACACACGGCGGGUGCUAACGUCCGUCGUGAAGAGGGAAACAACCCAGACCGCCAGCUAAGGUCCCAAAGUCAUGGUUAAGUGGGAAACGAUGUGGGAAGGCACAGACAGCCAGGAUGUUGGCUUAGAAGCAGCCAUCAUUUAAAGAAAGCGUAAUAGCUCACUGGUCGAGUCGGCCUGCGCGGAAGAUGUAACGGGGCUAAACCAUGCACCGAAGCUGCGGCAGCGACACUAUGUGUUGUUGGGUAGGGGAGCGUUCUGUAAGCCUGCGAAGGUGACCUGUGAGGGUUGCUGGAGGUAUCAGAAGUGCGAAUGCUGACAUAAGUAACGAUAAAGCGGGUGAAAAGCCCGCUCGCCGGAAGACCAAGGGUUCCUGUCCAACGUUAAUCGGGGCAGGGUGAGUCGACCCCUAAGGCGAGGCCGAAAGGCGUAGUCGAUGGGAAACAGGUUAAUAUUCCUGUACUUGGUGUUACUGCGAAGGGGGGACGGAGAAGGCUAUGUUAGCCGGGCGACGGUUGUCCCGGUUUAAGCAUGUAGGCUGAUUGUCCAGGCAAAUCCGGAUAAUCAAGGCUGAGGUGUGAUGACGAGGCACUACGGUGCUGAAGUAACAAAUGCCCUGCUUCCAGGAAAAGCCUCUAAGCAUCAGGUAACAUCAAAUCGUACCCCAAACCGACACAGGUGGUCAGGUAGAGAAUACCAAGGCGCUUGAGAGAACUCGGGUGAAGGAACUAGGCAAAAUGGUGCCGUAACUUCGGGAGAAGGCACGCUGGUGUGUAGGUGAAGUCCCUGCGGAUGGAGCUGAGACCAGUCGAAGAUACCAGCUGGCUGCAACUGUUUAUUAAAAACACAGCACUGUGCAAACACGAAAGUGGACGUAUACGGUGUGACGCCUGCCCGGUGCCGGAAGGUUAAUUGAUGGGGUUAUCCGUAAGGAGAAGCUCUUGAUCGAAGCCCCGGUAAACGGCGGCCGUAACUAUAACGGUCCUAAGGUAGCGAAAUUCCUUGUCGGGUAAGUUCCGACCUGCACGAAUGGCGUAAUGAUGGCCAGGCUGUCUCCACCCGAGACUCAGUGAAAUUGAACUCGCUGUGAAGAUGCAGUGUACCCGCGGCAAGACGGAAAGACCCCGUGAACCUUUACUAUAGCUUGACACUGAACAUUGAGCCUUGAUGUGUAGGAUAGGUGGGAGGCUUUGAAGCGUGGACGCCAGUCUGCGUGGAGCCAACCUUGAAAUACCACCCUUUAAUGUUUGAUGUUCUAACGUUGGCCCCUUACCGGGGUUGCGGACAGUGUCUGGUGGGUAGUUUGACUGGGGCGGUCUCCUCCCAAAGCGUAACGGAGGAGCACGAAGGUUAGCUAAUCCUGGUCGGACAUCAGGAGGUUAGUGCAAUGGCAUAAGCUAGCUUGACUGCGAGCGUGACGGCGCGAGCAGGUGCGAAAGCAGGUCAUAGUGAUCCGGUGGUUCUGAAUGGAAGGGCCAUCGCUCAACGGAUAAAAGGUACUCCGGGGAUAACAGGCUGAUACCGCCCAAGAGUUCAUAUCGACGGCGGUGUUUGGCACCUCGAUGUCGGCUCAUCACAUCCUGGGGCUGAAGUAGGUCCCAAGGGUAUGGCUGUUCGCCAUUUAAAGUGGUACGCGAGCUGGGUUUAGAACGUCGUGAGACAGUUCGGUCCCUAUCUGCCGUGGGCGCUGGAGAAUUGAGGGGGGCUGCUCCUAGUACGAGAGGACCGGAGUGGACGCAUCACUGGUGUUCGGGUUGUCAUGCCAAUGGCACUGCCCGGUAGCUAAAUGCGGAAGAGAUAAGUGCUGAAAGCAUCUAAGCACGAAACUUGCCCCGAGAUGAGUUCUCCCUGAGACUUUAAGUCUCCUGAAGGAACGUUAAAGACGAUGACGUUGAUAGGCCGGGUGUGUAAGCGCAGCGAUGCGUUGAGCUAACCGGUACUAAUGAACCGUGAGGCUUAACCU
rnacentral:rRNA from 1 species